rnacentral:rRNA from 1 species
AAAGCCACGCGCCGAACCUGACCAACCCUUGACAUCCUGUGCUAACCCGAGAGAUCGGGCGCUCACUUCGGCGACGCAGUGACAGGUGCGGCAUGUGCUGUCGUCAGCUAGUUUCGUGCAGAUGUUCGCAUACGUCCGGCAACGAGCGCAACACCACAUCCUUCAUUGUCAGCAGUUCGGCUGGGCACUAUAAGGAAAAUGCCCGUGAUAAGCCGGAGUGAACGUGUGGCAUGACGUCAAGUCCUCCUCGCCCGACCGAGUUNCGCUACCCACGUGAUACAAGACCAGUGAUCAAUAGCUUAAUCCCAAAAAGCUGUCUCAGUUCGGAUUGGAGUCUGCAACUCGACUCCAUGAAGUCGGAAUCGCUAGUAAUCGCGUAUCAGCAUGACGCGGUGAAUACGUUCCCGGGCCUUGGACACCCCGCCCGUCCCCCCCUUGGAAUUGGUUUGCACAGAAGGCGCUGCGCUAACCUUCGGGAGC